rnacentral:rRNA from 1 species
UGGGGAAUAUUGGACAAUGGGCGCAAGCCUGAUCCAGCCAUACCGCGUGGGUGAAGAAGGCCUUCGGGUUGUAAAGCCCUUUUGUUGGGAAAGAAAAGCGGUCGAUUAAUACUCGGUUGUUCUGACGGUACCCAAAGAAUAAGCACCGGCUAACUUCGUGC